GAAUGGUGCUAUCACAGGUACGUCUUCUUCUCUUCCUGUUAAAGAAGUUUACAACCCGAAAGCCUUCUUCCUUCACGCGGCGUUGCUGGGUCAGACUUGCGUCCAUUGCCCAAUAUUCCCCACUGCUGCCUCCCGUAGA
rnacentral:rRNA from 1 species